CGCGGGGUGGAGCAGCACGGUAGCUCGUCGGGCUCAUAACCCGAAGGUCAGAGGUUCAAGUCCUCUCCCCGCUACCA
rnacentral:tRNA from 1 species